UACGUAGGGUGCAAGCGUUGUCCGGAAUUAUUGGGCGUAAAGAGCUCGUAGGCGGUCUGUCACGUCGGCUGUGAAAACCCGAGGCUCAACCUCGGGCCUGCAGUCGAUACGGGCAAACUAGAGUACUGCAGGGGAGACUGGAAUUCCUGGUGUAGCGGUGAAAUGCGCAGAUAUCAGGAGGAACACCAAUGGCGAAGGCAGCACUCUGGGACGGUACUGACGCUGAGACGCGAAAGCGUGGGGAGCAAACAGG
rnacentral:rRNA from 1 species